rnacentral:rRNA from 1 species
GUCUACGGCCAUACCACCCUGAACGCACCCAAUCUCGUCUGAUCUCGGAAGCUAAGCAGGGUAGGGCCUGGUUAGUACUUGGAUGGGAGAAACCAGAGUAUAAGAAAAAUAUUUGUACCCUAUUCC